CUCUAUGCAUCCGAAGAAGUGAGGUUUUUACUCACGAAAGCUUAUGCCCAAAUAAAUCUGUUAGUCUUUAAGGUGCCACCAGACUCCUUGUUGUUUCUAUGGGUGUUUGUUUUUCUGAUCCCGAGUCCAUCCCGUCUACCUAGGGCGAAGUCUGCAACACGAUUAACAAGAAGUACAACGAGUUCCUCCCCAGCAUGCAGAGCGCUGAGGACUUGGUGUCACAAGUGGACAGUCUGUCCAGCAACAUCGACCAACUGAAAUCCAGGAUGGAAAAUGAGGUGACGCAGCAGCGGUUUCACUUUAUCUGUAUCUAGCAGCUUUCAUCCUGCAUCAUCCCAAAGCAGUGCAACUCCACUGAUGUGCAGCCAUGAGCAUGCUGGCCAGGAAGGCAGGGGAGGAGGAUCUUGGCUAAGGAUUCCAGGAUGAAUCGCCGCCUCUUAUAAAGAGUGCCCUUGACUGAAACAUACCGAUGUAUGAUGUAUCAGACCUGGGAUCGAAAUAAAGGGCGGGCUGUAGCUUAUUCAGUCAUUAUGUAGCUGAAUGGUUUUCCGUGGUGCUCAUCACAGUAGUUUCGGAGCCCCUCAAGUAUAUUAAUGCAUUUAUCUUCUAAGCCUCACCGCAUUGAGAUAGGGAGGAAUCAUUCUUAUUUUGCUGAUGGGGAAACUGUGGCACAAAGAAGUGGAAUGACCUUGGCUAAGUAUCCGAGGGGUAGCCGUCUUAGUCUGGAUCUGUAAAAAGCCACAAAGAGUCCUAUGGCACAGGAGAUUCUGUGCAGAGCUUGGAAUUGAGCCCAGAUUUUCUGCAUAUUGAUUGCAAGACUGUCCUUCCCGUGGCCUCCUUAUAUUUUUUGUGUGUGUCGUCCUUUCUAUCCCCCUGGACUAAUUCUGCCUUGCCACUCUGGCUUUGAAAGGUCCGGCAAGAUCUGAACGUGGCCAUUGCGGAAUUUACUGAACUGAAGCAGCAGCUGGAGCGAGACUCGUUGGUUCUGAGUGUGCUGAAACAGCUGCAAGAGGUGAGGAAGGAGGCUGGGAAAAUGGCUUCAGAUGGCAAAGUGUUUCUGUACUUUGUUCCACAGACCUCUUCCUGGGUCUCCAUAGUGAAUAAAUAAUCAUGACUCUUC